AGCAGUAGCCACGGUAAAACGUAGGGUGCGAGCGUUAAUCGGAAUUACUGGGCGUAAAGCGUGCGCAGGCGGUUCGUUAAGACAGAUGUGAAAUCCCCGGGCUUAACCUGGGAACUGCAUUUGUGACUGGCGAGCUAGAGUAUGGCAGAGGGGGGUAGAAUUCCACGUGUAGCAGUGAAACGCGUAGAGAUGUGGAGGAAUACCGAUGACGAAGGCAGCCCCCUGGGCCAAUACUGACGCUCAUGCACGAAAGCGUGGGGAGCAAACAGGAUUAGAUACCCCCGUAGUCCCUGUCUCUUAUAC
rnacentral:rRNA from 1 species